rnacentral:lncRNA from 1 species
UCACCGGUCGACCCUCCACCAGAUCUUUCAUAAAACCGAACUUCCCCAAUGGAUCAUCUUCAGGCGAGUUUUCACAUCGGAUGAAUCCCAGACGAACUUCUCCAACAAUCGGAUUCCUACCGGGCUUUGCCAACGGAAUGUUUCUAUCCAAGCUUCUGCGGUAGGUGACUCCCACCCGUAGUAUCAGCGCCUAAGCCACCCUACAAUAGUAGACUCGUCAGC